AUUUAAAUAGUUUAAUAAAAAUACUGAUUUGUGGUAUCAGUGAUAUGCUAUUUUAGGCAUUUUAAAUA
rnacentral:tRNA from 1 species